rnacentral:rRNA from 1 species
GCUCCCCAUGGACCUGACAGAUUGAAGGCCUAACACCCAUGACCAUGCAAGUCGAACCACCGUAGGGAAGCAGCUUGCUGCUUUGCUGACGAGUGGCGGACGGGUGAGUAAUGUCUGGGAAACUGCCUGAUGGAGGGGGAUAACUACUGGAAACGGUAGCUAAUACCGCACCAUUAACGUCGCAAGCCUAGGGGGACCUUAGGGCCUCUUGCCAUCGGAUGUGCCCAGAUGGGAUUCCUGUUAUUCGUGAGCUAGGGCUCACCUAGGCGACGAUCCCUAGCUGGUCUGAGAGGAUGACCAGCAACACUGGAACUGAGACACGGUCCAGACUCCUACGGGAGGCAGCAGUGGCAAUGGGCGCCCAUGACUUACGUGUAAAGCCUGAUGCAGCCAUGCCGCGUGUAUGAAGAAGGCCUUCGGAAAGUACUUUCAGCGGGGAGGAAGGGAGUAAAGUUAAUACCUUUGCUCAUUGACGUUACCCGCAGAAGAAGCACCGGCUAACUCCGUGCCAGCAGCCGCGGUAAUACGGAGGGUGCAAGCGUUAAUCGGAAUUACUGGGCGUAAAGCGCACGCAGGCGGUUUGUUAAGUCAGAUGUGAAAUCCCCGGGCUCAACCUGGGAACUGCAUCUGAUACUGGCAAGCUUGAGUCUCGUAGAGGGGGGUAGAAUUCCAGGUGUAGCGGUGAAAUGCGUAGAGAUCUGGAACUGUAGUAGGCCCUGAAAUACCAAGGCGGCCCCCUGGACGAAGACCCAUGACUACUGACGCUGAGCAAACAGGAUUAGAUACCCUGGUAGUCCACGCCGUAAACGAUGUCGACUUGGAGGUUGUGCCCUUGAGGCGUGGCUUCCGGACCCUAGGAUUAACGCGUUCCUGGGGAGUCCAACGGCCGCAAGGUUAAAACUCAAAUGAAUUGACGGGGGCCGCACAAGCGGUGGAGCAUGUGGUUUAAUUCGAUGCAACGCGAAGAACCUUACCUGGUCGGAAGUCCAUUUUCAGAGACCGUGAUUGAGAAUGUGCCUUCGGGAACCGUGCCAUGUAAGACACAUGGCUGUCGUCAGCUCGUGUUGUGAAAUGUUGGGUUAAGUCCCGCAACGAGCGCAACCCUUAUCCUUUGUUGCCAGCCUGAUGGUCCGGCCGGGAACUCAAAGGAGACUGCCAGUGAUAAAGAGGAAGGUGGGGAUGACGUCAAGAUCAUGGCCCUUACCAUGACGACCAGGGCUACACACGUGCCCAUGAUACAAAGAGAAGCGACCUCGCGAGUCAUCCAUGAAAGUGCGUCGUAGCCCUGAUCCGGAUUGGAGUCUGCAACUCGACCUCCAUGAAGUCGGAAUCGCUAGUAAUCCAUGUGGAUCAGAAUGCCACGGUGAAUACGUCCCGGGCUGUACACACCGCCCGUCACACCAUGGGAGGGUUGCCGUACAAAGAAGUAGGUAGCUAACUUCG